rnacentral:rRNA from 1 species
CAUCCCCCUGACCGGUACAGAGAUGUACCUUCCCCUUCGGGGGCAGGGGUGACAGGUGGUGCAUGGUUGUCGUCAGCUCGUGUCGUGAGAUGUUGGGUUAAGUCCCGCAACGAGCGCAACCCUUGUCCUUAGUUGCCAGCAUUCAGUUGGGCACUCUAAGGAGACUGCCGGUGACAAACCGGAGGAAGGUGGGGAUGACGUCAAAUCAUCAUGCCCCUUAUGAGUUGGGCUACACACGUGCUACAAUGGACGGUACAAAGGGCAGCGAAGCCGCGAGGUGGUGCCAAUCCCAGAAAGCCGUUCUCAGUUCGGAUUGCAGGCUGCAACUCGCCUGCAUGAAGUCGGAAUCGCUAGUAAUCGCAGGUCAGCAUACUGCGGUGAAUACGUUCCCGGGUCUUGUACACACCGCCCGUCACACCACGAGAGUUUGCAACACCCGAAGUCGGUGAGUAA